GGAUUCUUUUUUAGUAGGAAUCCGGAAGUAUUAGAUUGAAUGGAAAAGCACUUGCCAUCUCUGUCUAGGGGUCACAAAUUGAAAUGGCUCCUGUAUCACAUACGGAGGUCUUGUGUAUCUGUGGCAACAGGGAGUUUCCUUAUUCACUCUUUAUUUGCUGCUGUUUAAGUUGCCAACCUCCCUUCCCAAUAAAAAUUCACUUACACCUCCUGCCUUUGUAGUUCUGGUAUUCACUUUACUAUGUGAUAGAAGUAGCAUGUUGCUGCCAGAAUACAAGCAUUGCUUUUGGCAAAUUAAAGUGCAUGUCAUUUCUUAAUACACUAGAAAGAGGAAAAAAAGUACGCAAGUCCAUUGUUAUUUAGAGAGUUGGACCACUACUGUGUGUUGCUAAUCAUUGACUGUAGUCCCAAAAAAGCCUUGUGAAAAUGUUAUGCCCUAUGUAACAGCAGAGUAACAUAAAAUUGGACUGCAUUUCUUAGAGUGUUUUACUAUAGAUCAGUCUCAUGGGCCAUCUCUUCCUCAGAUGUAAAUGAUAUCUGGUUAAGUGUUAUAUGGAAUAAAGUGGACAUUUUAAAACUAAAAAAAAAAACAAAAACAAAAACUGAGACUGAAAGAUGAGGUGACAUGA
rnacentral:lncRNA from 1 species